rnacentral:lncRNA from 1 species
CAGAAAAUAUCAUAUUUGACACAUCUUAUGUCACAAAAGUCACAAAACUGAUUAUAUUUAUCAUACAGGGAUCACAAGAAAAGGAAGCGCAAAGCUACUAAACAAAGAAGAGAAAGUGCUUUAGAUCUAAAUCUAGAUGCAACCUCCAGUUCAUCAUCACACGGAGGGAUAAUAGAUUUCUAAUCACAUCUCUUUAUUACAAGAAAAAAUGACCUAACAGACUAUGAGCUAUACUAUAAAAUGGCUGCAACCAACAAAAGGAAACGUUGAACAGCUUUAUUGCAUACAACUUGAUCAAAAAUGCCUACUCAUACCCUCCCAAGAAUCUCUUUCUUCCUUCUAUCAUACUAGGGCAUGCAUAAAAAAUAAACCAAAAGCCACAGUGUGAUACAAGCCAAUAGCUCAGCAACUAAAGUUCCCCAAUAUUUGAGACAAGCAUUUUUUACGCACGAUUUUGGCUAACGUUCAAAUGGCAUUUCUCCAACCUAUCUCCAGUGCCAGGGAAAAAGGGGAGAAAGUUUUUGCCUCCUUGUCAUGUUAAAACAGAAAUAUCCUAACAAGCAAUCAUGAAAUCAAAAUAACAAACGAAUGAAUAGCUUGAGAUAGUUGAAGUUUCUUUUUUAGUUUGAAAUGUGGCACUAAGAAAUCAAAGCUAGUGUUCAGUCCAAUACACCAAAGAAGGAUUUACAAAAGGAGCAAUUCUAGCAAACAAAAGGUCACCUCAAGUCAGUUUAAAAAAAAAAUCACCUCAAGUCAGUUUCAAAAAAAAANNNN